CCUACGGGUGGCAGCAGUGGGGAAUAUUGCACAAUGGGGGAAACCCUGAUGCAGCGACGCCGCGUGAGUGAAGAAGUAUCUCGGUAUGUAAAGCUCUAUCAGCAGGGAAGAAGCAAGACGGUACCUGACUAAGAAGCCCCGGCUCACUACGUGCCAGCAGCCGCGGCAAUACGUCGGGGGCAGGCGUUAUCCGGAUUUACUGGGCGUAAAGGGAGCGUAGACGGUAUGGCAAGUCUGAAGUGAAAGCCCAGGGCUUAACCCUGGGACUGCUGUGGAAACUGUCAGACUAGAGUGCUGGAGAGGUAAGUGGAAUGCCUGGUGUAGCGGUGAAAUGCGUAGAUAUUAGGAAGAACGCCAGUGGCGAAGGCGGCUUACUGGACAUUAACUGACGUUGAGGCUCGAAAGCGUGGGGAGCGAACAGGAUUAGAUACCCCAGUAGUC
rnacentral:rRNA from 1 species